rnacentral:rRNA from 1 species
UACGUAGGGUGGAAGCGUUGUCCGGAAUUAUUGGGCGUAAAGAGCUCGUAGGCGGUUUGUUGCGUCGGCUGUGAAAUCCCGAGGCUCAACCUCGGGUCUGCAGUCGAUACGAGCAAACUAGAGUGUUGCAGGGGAGACUGGAAUUCCUGGUGUAGCGGUGAAAUGCGCAGAUAUCAGGAGGAGCACCGGUGGCGAAGGCGGGUCUCUGGGCAACAACUGACGCUGAGGAGCGAAAGCGUGGGGAGCGAACAGG